GCAAGUCGAACGGCAGCGCGGAGAGCUUGCUCUCUGGCGGCGAGUGGCGAACGGGUGAGUAAUGCAUAGGAAUCUGCCCAGUAGUGGGGGACAACUUCGGGAAACCGGAGCUAAUACCGCAUACGUCCUACGGGAGAAAGCGGGGGAUCUUCGGACCUCGCGCUAUUGGAUGAGCCUAUGUCCGAUUAGCUUGUUGGUGGGGUAACGGCCUACAAAGGCGACGAUGAAUAGCCGGCCUGAGAGGGUGACC
rnacentral:rRNA from 1 species